UAUAUAUGGACGCUGAAAUUUUGCAUAGCUUAAGUUCUAUUUGGAAAAAUAACAAGAUAAUUUCUAAGUACAGUGUAGUACGGCUUUAGCUAGUAAUGAUGCUUAUGAUGACGCAACAAUAAAAA
rnacentral:sRNA from 1 species